rnacentral:rRNA from 1 species
AGCGAACGCUGGCGGCAGGCUUAACACAUGCAAGUCGAACGGGCACUUCGGUGCUAGUGGCAGACGGGUGAGUAACACGUGGGAACGUACCUUUCGGUUCGGAAUAAUCCAGGGAAACUUGGACUAAUACCGGAUACGCCCUUCGGGGGAAAGAUUCAUCGCCGAUAGAUCGGCCCGCGUCUGAUUAGCUAGUUGGUGAGGUAAUGGCUCACCAAGGCGACGAUCAGUAGCUGGUCUGAGAGGAUGAUCAGUCACAUUGGGACUGAGACACGGCCCAAACUCCUACGGGAGGCAGCAGUGGGGAAUAUUGGACAAUGGGCGCAAGCCUGAUCCAGCCAUGCCGCGUGAGUGAUGAAGGCCUUAGGGUUGUAAAGCUCUUUUGUCCGGGAAGAUAAUGACUGUACCGGAAGAAUAAGCCCCGGCUAACUUCGUG